UACCAGCACCCCGAGUGGUCGGGACGUUUAUUGGGCCUAAAGCAUCCGUAGCCGGUUCUACAAGCCUUCCGUUAAAUCCACCUGCUUAACAGAUGGGCUGCGGAAGAUACUAUGGAGCUAGGAGGCGGGAGAGGCAAGCGGUACUCGAUGGGUAGGGGUAAAAUCCGUUGAUCCAUUGAAGACCACCAGUGGCGAAGGCGGCUUGCCAGAACGCGCUCGACGGUGAGGGAUGAA
rnacentral:rRNA from 1 species